UCGGGGUGGUGCGACCCGCAACUGUGCGGGUCCUACUUGUCUCUUUUUCCACAGAAAGACAGCCGCUGCGAAUUCUGGACUCACCCAAAGUCCAGAAGCUUCCCUGUAAAGGGCAUGGCCGCCGAGGCAGCUGAAGAUCCCGGUUUGCAGUCCCGCAAGUUCCUUAGCCAGCCCCCUCCCCCGGGCAGGCAGCUAAGCCGCGCACCCACAACGCUGCCAGGCAAUGGCCUUCCCUCUCGCAGCCCUUUCCGAUCGCUUCAGGAAUCUGCAUGGACCAGGAAGCAUCAGUCGGGACAUCCUGUUUCCAAGUUUCCUCUGAGUGCAAGACGCAGAGUGGCACAGCGUUACGAGAGGGCGAGCAAUCUGCAAACGCCGAGCUACAGGGGAGCCUAGAAACGGCAGGGACAAAGGGUGGGGUGUGGAAGUUUACUUACAGGAGUCUGCAGGCUCCACUACCUAAAGCAGGUGGUUGGGACUGCGCCGCAGAGCGUCUGGAGCCGGUGUUUAGGUGGAUCCCCGAAGGGGGUGAGGCUUGAGGCUUUCCCCAGGGCGGGGCUUUCUGGAAGGGUGGGGGGAAAUGCUGCGUAGGAAAGCCAGCCCUGCCCCUUGCUGCUCAGGCAGGCAGGAGAGAGAGAAAAGGCGGGAAAGGCGGGUCUCCCAGCGGCCCCAGUCAGUCCCAGGCUUCCCACACUGUCAAUUAUAGACCCCCAACUCUGAGCCCAAUCCUGGUCAGUCCUGUAAACGGAGAAAUAAUGCUAAGACCACAAAUGUUACCCUUCUCCAUAAUCAUUCAGUACAUUUAGAAGGUUUCUCCCCUGGUUUUCACAAAAAUGGAAUCAUUCCAAAGAUAAGACUCAGCACCUUUUUCUUCAGCCUGAACAUUCUCAGACCAGGGUUACCUAAACCAGUUGUGUUAACCAGGGUAGGAUUCCUUUUUUCCCUUUGCUUGGUUUUCUUUCUUUCUCUCUUUUUUCAGAAGACUAAUUUUACUUUUACCCGCUUUUGGUAAUAUGUGCAAUGUUAGAAUGCACUUGCAUAACAUGUAGUUAAGUAAAUCAAAUAAAGAAUCCAGGUCAUGAGUUACAGCACACGCUGGAAAUUCUGAGAAAGGAGAACACACAUUAACAAAAAACACCAGCAAGCUCAAACUCAGGUUUAUAUGCUGAGUAUUUUUAAAGGCUUUAAAAAGCAUGCUCAAUCAGCAUACAGCAUUUUCUUCCUUAUAUAACAGAUGUGCUUCUAUUUGCUUGUUUACAGCAAAGGGUAAGAUUCUGAAUUAAUUUACUUAGGAUUUCAGAAAUGCAUUCCAUGGAUUUUGCUUCAAUGCUCCUGCCAUUGAUUCUUCAAAUAAGCAAAGUUCAGAGUUUCAUCCUUUGAAAUUGCUUUUAAUCACUAGCAGUUUAAAUUGAAAGAUAAUAAGUAGAAACCUGGCAAUUCCUCAUAUACUGCCUGAACUUAAGUCUCAUUUAAUAUAAGAGUUGGAUAUACAACAGCAAAUUUAUCCAUUUUCUCUAUCCUUAGAGGAGAGGGAAGGAAAAUAAGAUGAGGCAUGGAUAUAGUUGCAGUGUUUAAGAGCUGAAUGGAACAGUGAAUCUUUCGUAAUGCUCUCAACUCCAUAAUGAAGAACCACCAUGAAUCUUAAUCAAUUUUUUAGUUCAUGCUGGAUGAAGAAUUUAGGUUUCCCUCUUUGUAUAUCAUACUUCAUAUUCUCCAAGUUACAAAGGUUAAAUUACAAAGAUAAAUUCUCCAAAUUACAAAGGUUAAAUUACAAAGAUAAAUUCUAGCUGCAACAGAUAUUUCCUAAGUAGGAGACCAAACAGCAAAGGGAACUCUUUCUUCCAACAUUUGAUAUGUUAAAAUUUCACUGAAGUGGUAAUCUAACACUUAAAAUAUGAAAUCUCUUGGCCAAGUAAGAAACAACCGCUACUAUGGGUAUUAUCCUACUUAAAUGUAUCACAUAUUAUAUUAAACCCACCAUUAAAUGUGCUUGCACAGUUA